UAUGAAAAAUAGGCUAUUUUCUCUCUAAAUGUUAAAUUCUUUCGCUUAGGCUACACUUGCAUCACCACUGCCAUAGCCUGGACAAAAAUAUAUGUUUUAAUAUCCAGAAGAGGGCCAGGAAAAUAUAACUAUAAAUAUCUAUACCAUUUGAACGAGGCUGACCCCAAGGGUAGGCUCUCAGGCAGGACUGGCCUACUUCUGGGUGACCUUUCUGACUCAAAACAUCAUUACUCAUGCUGUCAGGCGAUUUUCUAAAAGGUUUUUUAUUGUAAUUCUGCAUAAAAAUUCACCCUUUUAAAAUACGUUGGGAUAAACAUCAUUUGGAAAAAAAUCGAAACUAUAUUCAUUCACUUGUUCAUCACUCACUCCCUAAUCAAUUAGUAUUUUUUGGAUGGCAGGCAGUAGCAGUGGUUUCUUAGCAUUUAGUAGUAAGUAGAGAAGAUGUGGUACUUGCUGUCAUGGGGCUUAUCAAUUAAUGGGGGACACAGCCUCCCAUGUAGAAAUAUUCAAUAAAUCUUUGAUGAACAAAUGCAUUUAAAAAUAUUAGAUUGAAAGUGAUCCCCCAAAAGGUUUAAUUUAUGACUCAUACACGUUUUUUUUAAGCCCUUCUGCAGCUCCUGAACUCAUGGUCUUCUACAGUGUGGGCUGUCAUGAAUAUCAAAAGCUAUUACAGGCAAAACAGGCUUUUGUGGUUUUUCCUCCAAAUUAACUAUGGCUCCUAUCAUUGACUUUGGGAAGAUGCUUAUAGAACUUCAUAACACUCUAAAGGAUCUCUUGGAAUGCUUCAUAUUUGUAAGCAAGGUUUUCUUUUUUCCACAUAAUGUUACUCAUCCUUUCUCCUACCCAAACUCCCUGCCUCCUUCACCCCUCCAUACCUUUACCUCUUCUGAUGUAGUAGUUAGUUUAGUUAGUUUCCUCCCCUUUGUGUUAAGCGGCCGAGAAGGAGAAAUUUCGGAAGGUGACCAAGGUUGGGAAUUAAUGAGAAACGAUACAAAAUUCCAUCUCUCUUUCUAUAAAUCUAUGCCUCUGUUAUGGCCUGUUAAAAUGUAACAGAGGGGAGUUCCCGUCGUGGCUCAGUGGUUAACGAAUGUGACUAGGAACCAUGAGGUUGUGGGUUCGAUCCCUGGCCUCACUCAGUGGGUUAAGGAUCUGGUGUUGCCAUGAGCUGUGGUGUAGGUCGAAGACAUGGCUUGGAUCUGGCGUUGCUGGGCUGUGGUGUAGGCUGGGAGUUGUAGCUCCAAUUAGACCCCUAGCCUGAGAAGCUCUAUAUGCUGCAGGUGCAGCCCUAAAAAGAAAAAAAAAAUGUAUAUAUUCUUAGCAGUGUUUAGCCCUGUUCAUUUCCGUGUCUUCCUUUGGUAUUUGUGGCACCAGAUACUCCUCCUGUUCUGUGGCCUCAGCCUCUAUUCCUGACCCAUCUUGGUCUUCAGGUGGAGUUCCUAAAGCCCUCAUUUCCUCACAUUUAACCAGGGUUUAUCAACCUUGGCACUCUUGGUAUUUUGGUCUGAGUUGUCUUCGUUGUGAAGGCCUGCCUUCUGCGUUCAUUGUAGGAUGCUCAGCAGCACCUCUGGGCUCUCCUCACUGGAUGCCCCCACUUGUGACAACCUCAAAGUCUUCAGACAUUUUCAGAAAUCCCCUGAGGAUGAAAAUAGUUUCCCUACCCCUGGUUGAGAGCUACUGCUUAAUACUCUUUUCCUAAGCAACUCUAGCCACAUUCCUGGAUUCAGUUUUGGUCUGUAUGUUAAUCACGCUCAUUAUAGAAUCUCAGUUCAGACCAUGUUUCUGAGCUCCAGUGACAACAGCAUCUUCUUGAAUAUUUCAGAGAGAUUGCAAAGCUAAAUUCAAAAUGCUGAUCUUCUUACCAUAUUUCCUCUCUUCGUAUUUCCUAUCUAGUGAUAAGUUGCAGCCAUCUACUCAUCUCCCUUGUUCCCUGUUUCUAGUCCGUCACCAAGUGCUGAGUGAUUUUUGUAUUUCAGAUCUGCCCCAGAUCGAAGAUCUUUGUAUUUAUCCCCAGCCCCUACCCAACCACUGCAGGUCAAGUCACCAUCAUCUAUUUCCUGAAUCGCUGAUGAGCCUCAACCCUGGACUUCAGGAAUUCCUGCUUCCUUCAAUCCAUUAUUUAUAUCACUCAGAGAGGAUCUUGCAAAACAAUAAAUUUGAACAAGUACCUACAUGUGCUUCCAUUUGCUUUUAGGUUGAGGACCUAAAUCCUUUACGAGACCAGAUUGCCUGUGUGAGCUGGCCCUGCCUGCCUUCCCUUCAUUUCCUGAACAUACUGUGUAUUUCUACACCAUGUCUCUGCACGUGAUUAGAAUAUUCUCAACCAGCUCCUCUUCAACCCUACCCUCCUAGCUAAUGCCUAAUAUUAGGGAUAUGUGUAUAUAUUUUUUGUCUCCCCAUUUGAAAUUUCAUGAAUGCUACUAGAAAGAAGGUCUAUUUGUGUGCAUGUUUCCUAUAAUCAGAAAAUUACAGAAACAUGGGAGCAUGAAUAUCUAUGUUAUAUCAUUUUCUUUUCUUUUCUUUUCUUUUUUUCAUUUUUAGGUCCGUGCCCAGAGCAUACGGAGGUUCCCAGGCUAGGGGUCGAAUCCUAGCUACAGCUGCCGGCCUGCACCACAGCCAUAAGCAGUGCAGGAUCUGAGCCAUGUCUGUGACCUACACCACAGCUCACAGCAAUGCCGGACACUUAACACGCUGAGCGAAGCCAGGGAUCGAAGCCACAACCUCAUGGUUACUAGUUGAAUUUGUUUCUGCUGCACCACACAGGAACUCUGCAUAUUCUUAAAACAAGAAAGAUACAUUUGUAAAAAUAUGAAUCUAGUGUGAGAAAUAAGAAAGUAGAGGUAGAAUUAUAUACCUACAUACACAUAUAUCAUAUAUAUAUUUGAAAUUGUCUUUAAAAAUGGUAUUCAUAUUUAUCAAUUUUGGGUGUGUGUUUUCUGAUUUUUUUUGUUGUCAGUAAAAUGUAUCAAGAUAUUUGAAAAAGUGCUCUGGCAAGAAAAUGUACUAUAUCAUAAAGAUUCAAGAAGAGAUAAUUUGUGGCUACUGAGCCAGAAAUGUGUAUGAGUCAUAAAUUAAACCUGACAAACUUGUCAUAAAAUAUAAGUUUUAAUAGAAGCAUAAUCUUUACUUUCAUGACUGUGUCAGAAUCAAUAAUACAUCAUCAGCUCUUUUUUAGAUUGGCUUACAUAGUGCAAAGAUGUGAAAGCAAACAUGUUUUUUGGUCCAUGAACAAAAUUGUAAUAUAAAAUAUAAUUUACAAAAGUAUUUACAAAAAUGUAAAGGUGGCUUAAGCCAAAAAACCUAUAAAUUAGCUUAUAUUAUAGAAUACAGAAUGUGGAAAGUUAUUAUUUAAAAAGAAAUAGUCCAUAAACAAAAUUAGAAGACAAAUAACAAACUAGUGAAAGAUGGUUAAAUACAUACAUAACAUGCAGAGUUAAUUUCUUUAACAUACAAGCACCAUUACAUAUCACUUUUAAAAAAAUAUACUAAUAGAGAAAUGCAAAUCAAAACUAUAAUGAGGUGUUACCUCACAGCGGUCAGAAUGGCCAUCUUUAGUAAGUCUACAAAUAACAAAUGUUGGAGAGAGAGUGUAGAGAAAAGAGAACCAUCCUACACAGUUGGUAAGAAUGUAAAUUGGUAUAAUCACUAUGGAAAACAAUACAGCAGUUCCUCAGAAAACUAAGUCUAGAACUACCAUAUGAUCCAGCAGUCCCACUUGUAGGUGUAUAACCAGACAAACUAUAACUCAAAAAGAUGAAUGUACCCCUAUGUUCAUUACAACACUAUUCACAAUAGCCAAGAUAAGGAAAUAACUUAAAUGUCCAUUGUCAGAUGAAUGGAUUAAGAAGAUGUGGUACAUAUAUACUGUGGAAUACUACUCAGCCAUAAAGAAGAAUGAAAUAAUGCCAUUUGCAGCAUUCCUUAUCAGGGACGCAACUAGAGAUUCUCAUAUAAUGUGAAGUAAGUCAGAAAGAGAAAGACAAAUAUCCUAUCAUAUCACUUACAUGUAGAAUCUAAAAUAUGGCACAGGAGUUCCUGUGAUGGCUCAGCAGAAACAAAUCUGACUAGUAUCCAUGAGGAUGCAGGUUUGAUCCCUGGCCUCACUCAGUGGGUUAAGGAUCUGGAGUUAAUGUGAACUAUGGUGUAGGUCACAGAUGUGGCCUGGAUCCUGCAUGGCUGUGGCUGUGGUGUAGGCCAGCGGCUACAACUCUGAUUUGACCCCUAGCCUGGGAACCUCCAUAUGCUGCAGAUGCAGCCC
ensembl:lncRNA